rnacentral:lncRNA from 1 species
ACAAUGUCUUUAGCAGGGAGGUCUUGGGGGGACAACUAAGGUCUCAAUGAUAACACCACCCUUGGAUUAAAUACGCAACUAGCCCACCUGGGCUUGGUCACUGAGCCCUGCCCCAGUCAAGACAAAGGACUAAUGUCUCCCAGAGGGCUUCAGGAGCAGCCCGCGAAGACGGACAGGCAGGGCGGCAAAGCGAGCACAGCGCCUCACAUCCGGAAAAUUAUUAGACUUGUAUACUCUAGCAAAUUCUUUCCAGUCCACUUUUAGCCUGGCACUGCUCACACCACUGACUUUCAGGCUUGAGCAGGGACAUGAGCCAAUGAAAACGAACUGUAACUCAUGGACGCAGGGAUAAGAGCUCUUUGGGGGCGGAGCCAAUGAAAAGGAACUGUAAUUCCUGGAUGGAGGGAUGGGAGCUCUCUGGGGGGCGCACCGCUGUGAUGCACACGUGAACGCUGGAUUUGAACAUCAAAAGACAGCAAGAAAGUUGAUCACUCAAACCAUGAUGAGGACAGACCUUUUUUCUUUCCCGUUUGCUGGAACCUUGUUUGAAUAUGAA